rnacentral:rRNA from 1 species
GGGUUGUGAGGUUAAGCGACUAAGCGUACACGGUGGAUGCCCUGGCAGUCAGAGGCGAUGAAGGACGUGCUAAUCUGCGAUAAGCGUCGGUAAGGUGAUAUGAACCGUUAUAACCGGCGAUUUCCGAAUGGGGAAACCCAGUGUGAUUCGUCACACUAUCAUUAACUGAAUCCAUAGGUUAAUGAGGCGAACCGGGGGAACUGAAACAUCUAAGUACCCCGAGGAAAAGAAAUCAACCGAGAUUCCCCCAGUAGCGGCGAGCGAACGGGGAGGAGCCCAGAGCCUGAAUCAGUGUGUGUGUUAGUGGAAGCGUCUGGAAAGGCGCGCGAUACAGGGUGACAGCCCCGUACACAAAAAUGCACAUACUGUGAGCUCGAUGAGUAGGGCGGGACACGUGGUAUCCUGUCUGAAUAUGGGGGGACCAUCCUCCAAGGCUAAAUACUCCUGACUGACCGAUAGUGAACCAGUACCGUGAGGGAAAGGCGAAAAGAACCCCGGCGAGGGGAGUGAAAAAGAACCUGAAACCGUGUACGUACAAGCAGUGGGAGCACAGAGCAAUCUGUGUGACUGCGUACCUUUUGUAUAAUGGGUCAGCGACUUAUAUUCUGUAGCAAGGUUAACCGAAUAGGGGAGCCGAAGGGAAACCGAGUCUUAACUGGGCGUUAAGUUGCAGGGUAUAGACCCGAAACCCGGUGAUCUAGCCAUGGGCAGGUUGAAGGUUGGGUAACACUAACUGGAGGACCGAACCGACUAAUGUUGAAAAAUUAGCGGAUGACUUGUGGCUGGGGGUGAAAGGCCAAUCAAACCGGGAGAUAGCUGGUUCUCCCCGAAAGCUAUUUAGGUAGCGCCUCGUGAAUUCAUCUCCGGGGGUAGAGCACUGUUUCGGCAAGGGGGUCAUCCCGACUUACCAACCCGAUGCAAACUGCGAAUACCGGAGAAUGUUAUCACGGGAGACACACGGCGGGUGCUAACGUCCGUCGUGAAGAGGGAAACAACCCAGACCGCCAGCUAAGGUCCCAAAGUCAUGGUUAAGUGGGAAACGAUGUGGGAAGGCCCAGACAGCCAGGAUGUUGGCUUAGAAGCAGCCAUCAUUUAAAGAAAGCGUAAUAGCUCACUGGUCGAGUCGGCCUGCGCGGAAGAUGUAACGGGGCUAAACCAUGCACCGAAGCUGCGGCAGCGACACUGUGUGUUGUUGGGUAGGGGAGCGUUCUGUAAGCCUGUGAAGGUGUGCUGUGAGGCAUGCUGGAGGUAUCAGAAGUGCGAAUGCUGACAUAAGUAACGAUAAAGCGGGUGAAAAGCCCGCUCGCCGGAAGACCAAGGGUUCCUGUCCAACGUUAAUCGGGGCAGGGUGAGUCGACCCCUAAGGCGAGGCCGAAAGGCGUAGUCGAUGGGAAACAGGUUAAUAUUCCUGUACUUGGUGUUACUGCGAAGGGGGGACGGAGAAGGCUAUGUUGGCCGGGCGACGGUUGUCCCGGUUUAAGCGUGUAGGCUGGUUUUCCAGGCAAAUCCGGAAAAUCAAGGCUGAGGCGUGAUGACGAGGCACUACGGUGCUGAAGCAACAAAUGCCCUGCUUCCAGGAAAAGCCUCUAAGCAUCAGGUAACAUCAAAUCGUACCCCAAACCGACACAGGUGGUCAGGUAGAGAAUACCAAGGCGCUUGAGAGAACUCGGGUGAAGGAACUAGGCAAAAUGGUGCCGUAACUUCGGGAGAAGGCACGCUGAUAUGUAGGUGAAGUCCCUCGCGGAUGGAGCUGAAAUCAGUCGAAGAUACCAGCUGGCUGCAACUGUUUAUUAAAAACACAGCACUGUGCAAACACGAAAGUGGACGUAUACGGUGUGACGCCUGCCCGGUGCCGGAAGGUUAAUUGAUGGGGUCAGCGCAAGCGAAGCUCUUGAUCGAAGCCCCGGUAAACGGCGGCCGUAACUAUAACGGUCCUAAGGUAGCGAAAUUCCUUGUCGGGUAAGUUCCGACCUGCACGAAUGGCGUAAUGAUGGCCAGGCUGUCUCCACCCGAGACUCAGUGAAAUUGAACUCGCUGUGAAGAUGCAGUGUACCCGCGGCAAGACGGAAAGACCCCGUGAACCUUUACUAUAGCUUGACACUGAACAUUGAGCCUUGAUGUGUAGGAUAGGUGGGAGGCUUUGAAGUGUGGACGCCAGUCUGCAUGGAGCCGACCUUGAAAUACCACCCUUUAAUGUUUGAUGUUCUAACGUUGACCCGUAAUCCGGGUUGCGGACAGUGUCUGGUGGGUAGUUUGACUGGGGCGGUCUCCUCCUAAAGAGUAACGGAGGAGCACGAAGGUUGGCUAAUCCUGGUCGGACAUCAGGAGGUUAGUGCAAUGGCAUAAGCCAGCUUGACUGCGAGCGUGACGGCGCGAGCAGGUGCGAAAGCAGGUCAUAGUGAUCCGGUGGUUCUGAAUGGAAGGGCCAUCGCUCAACGGAUAAAAGGUACUCCGGGGAUAACAGGCUGAUACCGCCCAAGAGUUCAUAUCGACGGCGGUGUUUGGCACCUCGAUGUCGGCUCAUCACAUCCUGGGGCUGAAGUAGGUCCCAAGGGUAUGGCUGUUCGCCAUUUAAAGUGGUACGCGAGCUGGGUUUAGAACGUCGUGAGACAGUUCGGUCCCUAUCUGCCGUGGGCGCUGGAGAACUGAGGGGGGCUGCUCCUAGUACGAGAGGACCGGAGUGGACGCAUCACUGGUGUUCGGGUUGUCAUGCCAAUGGCACUGCCCGGUAGCUAAAUGCGGAAGAGAUAAGUGCUGAAAGCAUCUAAGCACGAAACUUGCCCCGAGAUGAGUUCUCCCUGACCCUUUAAGGGUCCUGAAGGAACGUUGAAGACGACGACGUUGAUAGGCCGGGUGUGUAAGCGCAGCGAUGCGUUGAGCUAACCGGUACUAAUGAACCGUGAGGCUUAACCUUACAACGCCGAAGGUGUUU